AUUAAUUAAUGGCUUUACAGUAAUAGUGAGUUAACAGAAUAAUAUUUUAGAUUAUUAUUUGAAAAGUACGGAUGAAAUGAGUUAUUUCAUUAAAUCUUAGGAAUGAAAAUAUUUUUUUUCUUUUUUUUUAAUUACAUUUUACGAUAACACGAAAGCAUGUGCUGAAGGUCACGUGAGUUGCGGCAACGCACGCGUCCCCCGUGAUAAGUCACGUGGGACGGUCGCUCCGCAUUUUAGCUUUCGGAGUGGAGUAGAAGCUUUUGAGUCUGGGUUGAAUGAAUGCUUGUUGCCAAGGGCAUUAUCAAUGAACAAUUUGGGCCGCUGAAUAUGUUAACAAACAAUGACCGGUCAAAUUGUGUGCUGCAGCCUGCAGGGCGACAGGCUUUAGUGGCAAGCCCAUGCCCACUGGCCUUUCUCCUUUUCCUUUUUGCAAAAGAGGAAGAAACGUGUUACUCUGGGUGCCAAUUAAGCAACCAAUUCUCCUUCGUGGCCAAGGAAGUGGCGUACUUUUUGCAGUUUGCUUGUUCUUGUAAAAUGUAAACGAACGCCAGACAAGCAGUUUACUUAACGUUGUAAAAAUUUAAUUUGAUAAUUUUUCUCUUUCAAGUAAUCACUUUAAUUUGUUCCCUGAUGCCAUAAUGGUGGCCAGUUUUCUAGCAAUUUCUCUCGCUGCUUCUGUUACUUUAAAGAAUAUUAGGAAUUUGUAAAUUAACAUAAAAUAAGAUUAAAAAAAAUGAGCCUUGCCCAUUGCAUCAUGCUGCCAACUGCCAAGGUUCCAAUGGAAAGAGUCAUGUGGCAACUUCGCGUUUGGGUCUGGGCUUUUCACCAUACAUGGGCUGUACGAGCAAUUCCGAGACCACCAGCCCAUGAAAGAUGAGGGUUUAUUUAGAGAUGAUCCAUCAUUUGUCAAAUACUCAAUUUGUUUGAGAGUUGGACUAUUGUCACCUCUCUAAAAUUCUUUUGAAACCCCUUUUUCAAUAAUGUUAAGCUUAAUGCCAAAAAUACUCUUAUUUUUAAAUAAACACAUUUAAUUUGUAAAUCUUUUAAUUUACAUUAUUUUCUUGCUCCUCACAAACAAAUUUUUAUGGGUGAUAAACUUCUUUACAAAAAUCAAUUAAUUAAAUAACAUAUUUGUAAGAUUAUGAUGUAAAAAGUUUUAUUAUAAGCCUUAAAAAAAGACAGAUAAUUUUGUCAGAAUGUAUUUUAUUUAUUAUCAAUAGAUUGUCUUAGUAAUUGAAAAAAAAUUUAUAGAGAAUUUGAGGAAAAAAAUUACAUGUGUGAGUUUGAUAGCAAAGAAAAUACCA
rnacentral:lncRNA from 1 species